UGGGAACGUGCCUUUUGGUUCGGAACAACUCAGGGAAACUUGAGCUAAUACCGGAUAAGCCCCUAGGGGGAAAGAUUUAUCGCCAUUAGAGCGGCCCGCGUCUGAUUAGCUAGUUGGUGAGGUAAAGGCUCACCAAGGCUUCGAUCAGUAGCUGGUCUGAGAGGAUGAUCAGCCACACUGGGACUGAGACACGGCCCAGACUCCUACGGGAGCAG
rnacentral:rRNA from 1 species